UACUCGAGUGGCGAACGGGUGAGUAACACGUGGGUGAUCUGCCUUGCACUUCGGGAUAAGCCUGGGAAACUGGGUCUAAUACCGGAUAGGACCAUGCUUUAGUGUGUGUGGUAGAAAGUUUUUUCGGUGCAAGAUGAGCCCGCGGCCUAUCAGCUUGUUGGUGGGGUAAUGGCCUACCAAGGCGACGACGGGUAGCCGGCCUGAGAGGGUGUACGGCCACAUUGGGACUGAGACACGGCCCAG
rnacentral:rRNA from 1 species